GACGAACGCUGGCGGCGUGCUUAACACAUGCAAGUCGUGGGCACCAGCAAUGGUGACCGGCGAACGGGUGCGUAACACGUGAGCGACCUACCGAUUUGUGGGGGAUAGCCGGCCCAACGGCCGGGUAAUACCGCAUACGCCGAGCUUGCCGCAUGGCUUGCUCGGGAAACCUCCGGGGCAAAUCGAGGGGCUCGCGGCCUAUCAGCUAGUUGGCGAGGUAAUGGCUCACCAAGGCGACGACGGGUAGCUGGUCUGAGAGGAUGGCCAGCCACAUUGGGACUGAGAAACGGCCCAGACUCCUACGGGAGGCAGCAGUGGGGAAUCUUGCGCAAUGGCCGAAAGGCUGACGCAGCGACGCCGCGUGUGGGAUGAAGCUCUUCGGGGGUGUAAACCACUGUUGCCCGGGGACGAACGGCGAGAUUUAUCUCGCGUGACGGUACCGGGUGAGGAAGCACCGGCUAACUCCGUGCC
rnacentral:rRNA from 1 species